UUACGGCCGCAUCACCUUGAAACACCGAUUCUCAUGCGAUCACCGAAGUUAAGCAACGUCAAGCAUGAUCAGUACACAGAUGGGUGGCGACUUGGGGAUACCAGUCGCCGUAG